AAAAAGCCUACAAACAUAAAUGAGGAAAAUAUAUUUUUGAAAUAUAACCUGUACCUAAUUUGUUUUACACAGAUUUCAAGAGCACUUUAGUCCUGUACCGUUAAUGACCUAAACGUCACAAACCUGUUUUUCCUUCAGUAUAUGUUAGACGGGUCAAAAGUUUUUUCUUUGUUUCUUUUGUUAUAUUUUGGAUUGUGUGCGUUUAUGCUGGUGUUGCUUUUUUCCUAUUAUUUGCUGUGAUGUGUGCUCUGUAUAUCUGGUGGUUUUGCAUUACUGGGACCGUCUAUUUCACCUUAAAAAAAACCCAAUAACGGUCUUUUGCAGGGAGCUGGGAGCAGUGAUUAGUGGUCCAGGUGUGCGGCGGAGCUGGACGGCGGGGUGUGCAACAGGGCAGAAGGAGCUUGGUCAAGUGUCUUAAGUUACUUAACAAACUUCUGGAAUGAGGUAACAUUGUUGACAUUUAAGACUUUUCACAAAUGAAUAUUGAAGGAACUGUAUUAUUUAUUUUGGUUAAUACAGGUGAUUCUGUUAUUGAUUACACGAAAACUAAUGGCCCUGCUGGAAAAAUUCUAUCUACACAAGGACUGUUUGGUGGAGACGGGCGUAGCUGCAUCCCCCCCUGGCCAUAUGGACUUUUUUUUGUUUGUUUCUCUCAUUUUUCCCUUAAUCUGCGGCUUUUACUAGUUGGAAAGAAUAAUGUAUUAAUAAAUGGGUUGUUUUUGUAUUA